rnacentral:rRNA from 1 species
UACGUAGGGGCGAGCGUUGUCCGGAAUGAUUGGGCGUAGAGGGCGCGUAGGCGGCUUGUUAAGUCUGGAGUGGAAGUCCUCUUUUUAAGGGAGGAAUUGCUUUGGAAACUGGCGAGCUUGAGUGCAGGAGAGGUUAUCGGAAUUCCCGGUGUAGCGGUGAAAUGCGUAGAGAUCGGGAGGAACACCAGUGGCGAAGGCGGGUAACUGGACUGCAACUGACGCUGAGGCGCGAAAGUGUGGGGAGCAAACAGGAUUAGAUACCCCGGUAGUCCCUGAGCGGG